CUACGUGCCAGCAGCCGCGGUAAUACGUAGGGCGCGAGCGUUGUCCGGAAUUAUUGGGCGUAAAGAGCUUGUAGGCGGUUUGUCGCGUCUGCUGUGAAAGGCCGGGGCUUAACCCCGUGUAUUGCAGUGGGUACGGGCAGACUAGAGUGCAGUAGGGGAGACUGGAAUUCCUGGUGUAGCGGUGGAAUGCGCAGAUAUCAGGAGGAACACCGAUGGCGAAGGCAGGUCUCUGGGCUGUAACUGACGCUGAGAAGCGAAAGCAUGGGGAGCGAACAGGAUUAGAUACCCUGGUAGUCCACGCCGUAAACGAUGAGUGCUAGGUGUUAGACCCUUUCCGGGGUUUAGUGCCGCAGCUAACGCAUUAAGCACUCCGCCUGGGGAGUACGACCGCAAGUGUGAAACUCAAAGGAAUUGACGGGGGCCCGCACAAGCGGUGGAGCAUGUGGUUUAAUUCGAUGAUACGCGAGGAACCUUACCAAGGUUUAAAUGGAGACUGACGUACUUAGAGAUAGGUAUU
rnacentral:rRNA from 1 species